rnacentral:rRNA from 1 species
AGCGAACGCUGGCGGCAGGCCUAACACAUGCAAGUCGAACGGACCCUUCGGGGUUAGUGGCGGACGGGUGAGUAACACGUGGGAACGUGCCUUUAGGUUCGGAAUAACUCAGGGAAACUUGUGCUAAUACCGAAUGUGCCAUUCGGGGGAAAGAUUUAUCGCCUUUAGAGCGGCCCGAGUCUGAUUAGCUAGUUGGUGAGGUAAAGGCUCAGCAAGGCGUCGAUCAGUAGCUGGUAUGAGAGGAUGAUCAGCCACAUUGGGACUGGGACACGGCCCAAACUCCUACGGGAGGCAGCAGUGGGGAAUCUUGCGCGAUGGGCGAAAGCCUGACGCAGCCAUGCCGCGUGAAUGAUGAAGGUCGUAGGAUUGUAAAAUUCUUUCACCGGGGACGAUAAUGACGGUACCCGGAGAAGAAGCCCCGGCUAACUUCGUGCCAGCCGCCGCAGUAACAC